rnacentral:rRNA from 1 species
GAUGAACGCUGGCGGCGUGCCUAAUACAUGCAAGUCGAGCGAACGGACGAGAAGCUUGCUUCUCUGAUGUUAGCGGCGGACGGGUGAGUAACACGUGGAUAACCUACCUAUAAGACUGGGAUAACUUCGGGAAACCGGAGCUAAUACCGGAUAAUAUUUUGAACCGCAUGGUUCAAAAGUGAAAGACGGUCUUGCUGUCACUUAUAGAUGGAUCCGCGCUGCAUUAGCUAGUUGGUAAGGUAACGGCUUACCAAGGCAACGAUGCAUAGCCGACCUGAGAGGGUGGUCGGCCACACUGGAACUGAGACACGGUCCAGACUCCUACGGGAGGCAGCAGUAGGGAAUCUUCCGCAAUGGGCGAAAGCCUCACGGAGCAACGCCGCGUGAGUGAUGAAGGUCUUCGGAUCGUAAAACUCUGUUAUUAGGGAAGAACAUAUGUGUAAGUAACUGUGCACAUCUUGACGGUACCUAAUCAGAAAGCCACGGCUAACUACGUG